UACAUAGGGGGCUAGCGUUGUCCGGAAUCAUUGGGCGUAAAGAGCGUGUAGGCGGCCAGGUAGGUCUGCUGUGAAAACUCGAGGCUCAACCUCGAGACGUCGGCGGAAACCAUCUGGCUAGAGUCCGGAAGAGGAGAGUGGAAUUCCUGGUGUAGCGGUGAAAUGCGCAGAUAUCAGGAAGAACACCCGUGGCGAAGGCGGCUCUCUGGGACGGUACUGACGCUGAGACGCGAAAGCGUGGGGAGCGAACAGG
rnacentral:rRNA from 1 species